ensembl:lincRNA
CUGAACCAAUUCUUACAGAAUCAAGCAAAAUCAGGAUGAACUGCACGGAUUCCAACUAAUCUCAGGAUGGCUUAGGACCUCCACACAGAACCUUCAGAAAAGCUUCCACGCUGAGCCUCUUGAGAAGUCAAAAAUCUCUAAUCACCACAGAGAAGGCAAAAGUUAAGCCACAGAUAUAAUUCACAGCUGUUUGAAGGCAUCCUCAACACAUUUCAUAAUUCAUAACAGAGGUUUCACUAAUCUGAAAAAAUCAUGGUAAAAUCAAUGGAAGAGUCAAACAGAAAAAUGAGCUAUGUCAUGACUUUGUCAAAAGAAUCCUGCACUCCCGCAUUAACCAUGCCAUGUGACCCCAGGAGGAAGGCCCCUCCUAGGAAGGAAGAUGAAAAAGUAAAGUCACUUGAGUGUACAACUCUUCAUCCAGAAGUCUUCCCUCUACGGUUUCUGAAGGUCUUCAGGUUUAUAUGAAAGGAACUCCAGUUGAUAUAUAUCAGCACUAUGUUGAUCCAGUUCAUGUUUGAAAUAAAAUGUUCUAACAACAAAGCAAAGACAAGACAAACAAAUC